UGCGGCAGUUGCUGGACUUUCUCCACCACUGGGGCCCUGGAGUCUGCGAUCGCCAUCGCAACCGGAAAGAUGCUGUCCUUGCGGAACAGCAGCUGGUGGACUGCGCCCAGGACUUCAAUAAUCACGGCUGCCAAGGGGUCUCCCCAGCCAGGCUUUCGAGUAUAUCCUGUACAACAAGGGGAUCAUGGGUGAAGACACCUACCCCUACCAGGGCAAGAUGGUUAUUGCAAGUUCCAACCUGGAAAGGCCAUCGGCUUUGUCAAGGAUGUAGCCAACAUCACAAUUAUGACGAGGAAGCGAUGGUGGAGGCUGUGGCCCUCUACAACCCUGUGAGCUUUGCCUUUGAGGUGACUCAGGACUUCAUGAUGUAUAGAACCGGCAUCUACUCCAUACUUCCUGCCAUAAAACUCCAGAUAAAGUAAACCAUGCAGUACUGGCUGUUGGGUAUGGAGAAAAAAAUGGGAUCCCUUACUGGAUCGUGAAAAACUCUUG
rnacentral:lncRNA from 1 species